AUGGUCUCGAUGACUGGAAGGAAUCCCUUCCGGUCAUCAAGACUGUACCCUUCAGGCCAUCGAGAUUGUAUGGUCUCGAUGACCGGAAGGAAUCCCUUCCGGUCAUCAAGACCAU
rnacentral:miRNA from 1 species